rnacentral:tRNA from 1 species
GGGGCUGUAGCUCAGUGGCAGAGCAUUUGCCUUGCUUACAUAAGGUCCUAGGUUCAAUCCCCAGUACUGCCA